rnacentral:rRNA from 1 species
GCAUGGUCUGUGGUUGGAAAGAUUUUUCGGUUGGGGAUGGGCUCGCGGCCUAUCAGCUUGUUGGUGAGGUAAUGGCUCACCAAGGCGUCGACGGGUAGCCGGCCUGAGAGGGUGACCGGCCACACUGGGACUGAGACACGGCCCAGACUCCUACGGGAGGCAGCAGUGGGGAAUAUUGCACAAUGGGCGCAAGCCUGAUGCAGCAACGCCGCGUGAGGGAUGACGGCCUUCGGGUUGUAAACCUCUUUUAGCAGGGAAGAAGCGAAAGUGACGGUACCUGCAGAAAAAGCGCCGGCUAACUACGUGCCAGCAGCCGCGGUAAUACGUAGGGCGCAAGCGUUAUCCGGAAUUAUUGGGCGUAAAGAGCUCGUAGGCGGUUUGUCGCGUCUGCUGUGAAAUCCGGAGGCUCAACCUCCGGCCUGCAGUGGGUACGGGCAGACUAGAGUGCGGUAGGGGAGAUUGGAAUUCCUGGUGUAGCGGUGGAAUGCGCAGAUAUCAGGAGGAACACCGAUGGCGAAGGCAGAUCUCUGGGCCGUAACUGACGCUGAGGAGCGAAAGGGUGGGGAGCAAACAGGCUUAGAUACCCUGGUAGUCCACCCCGUAAACGUUGGGAACUAGUUGUGGGGUCCAUUCCACGGAUUCCGUGACGCAGCU